rnacentral:rRNA from 1 species
GAUGAACGCUGGCGGCGUGCCUAAUACAUGCAAGUCGAGCGAACGGACGAGAAGCUUGCUUCUCUGAUGUUAGCGGCGGACGGGUGAGUAACACGUGGAUAACCUACCUAUAAGACUGGGAGAACUUCGGGAAACCGGAGCUAAUACCGGAUGAUAUGUUGAACCGCAUGGUUCAAAAGUGAAAGACGGUCUUGCUGUCACUUAUAGAUGGAGCCGCGCUGCAUUAGCUAGGUGGUAAGGUAACGGCUUACCAAGGCAACGAUGCAUAGCCGACCUGAGAGGGUGAUCGGCCACACUGGAACUGAGACACGGUCCAGACUCCUACGGGAGGCAGCAGUAGGGAAUCUUCCGCAAUGGGCGCAAGCCUGACGCAGCCACGCCGCGUGAGUGAUGAAGGUCUUCGGAUCGCAAAGCUCUGUUAUUAGGGAAGAACAUAUGUGUAAGUAACUGUGCACAUCUUGACGGUACCUAAUCAGAAAGCCCCGGCUAACUACGUG